rnacentral:rRNA from 1 species
GGAGUUAGCCGGUGCUUCUUCUGCGAGUAACGUCACAGAUGUAAGGUAUUAACUUACACCCUUUCCUCCUCGCUGAAAGUGCUUUACAACCCGAAGGACUUCUUCACACACGCGGCAUGGAUGCAUCAGGGUUUCCCCCAUUGUGCAAUAUUCCCCACUGCUGCCUCCCGUAGGAGUCUGGGCCGUGUCUCAGUCCCAGUGUGGCUGAUCAUCCUCUCAGACCAGCUAGGGAUCGUCGCCUAGGUGAGCCUUUACCUCACCUACUAGCUAAUCCCACCUGGGCUUAUCCAUCAGCGCAAGGCCCGAAGGUCCCCUGCUUUCCCCCGUAGGGCGUAUGCGGUAUUAGCAGUCGUUUCCAACUGUUAUCCCCCACAAAUGGGCAAAUUCCCAGGCAUUACUCACCCGUCCGCCGCUCGUCAUCUUCAAAAGCAAGCUUUUGAAAUGUUACCGCUCGACUUGCAUGUGUUAGGCCUGCCGCCAGCGUUCAAUCUGAGCCAGAAUCAAACUCUGA